rnacentral:lncRNA from 1 species
GAUACUCAUUUUGGUUUUGCAGCGAGUCUGGUCAUGCCUGGAAAUUUGCUGACCAUAGUACUUGAGUCGGUAACUUUUGAAAGUGACACUGGUUUCACUGGCCUCUGUGUGCCCAAAGAUUUCAGGAUUCUGCUCGUCAGACAUACACUGCAGUUGUGAGUUCUCUUUGGGCUGGUGCUCAGGCGGCUUCACAAGCGGGUCCGAGGAAGAACGGGAGCUUGUCGGUUGACUGCAGAACAGGAAGGUCUGGAGGCGAAAGUUGCAUACCUGGGCACACCGGAGUUCCAGCCGGAGGCUCCUUAUCUGUAACCGUCGAAUGGCGAAAAGUUAUCUUUUAUACCUCUGGCAAAUGGCCACUCCAAAAAGGUCAGCCAAAACUUGAUAAGCUGGGUGCCUUCCACCAUCACCUGGUCCCACCAAGGAAGAGUGGAGAGCCUGCCCUAGUUACUGAACUAUUUAGGACUCAGGUUGAGCAUGUUGCCAAAUUCGUGAAAUAGACUUCCUGAGUAGAGGACAGAGAAGGCUGCCAGGUCUUUGAUCACUCCUUUUCUAUUCCUACCGUGAUGGAGAUACCACAGGCUCUAAAUGGAACUGCGGACACGGAAGCCUUCACAGAAUCAAGAAACCAUGAUGCCACCUUGUAGUCUAUGCAGAGUGUACUGGACUUAGGGCUGUUAGUGCUGUGACGCCUUUUGGUUAAAACGCUACAUUAGGCUCCUCUGGAGACCUGGACUGUGAUGGCUGCCUUCAUGCAGUUCUCCUAAGCCCACCACACUUCUACUCUGGUGAUUCUUUGCAGGGCUCUGCCAGACAGAAUCAAAACGACAGAAACAUAAAUAACUCCUUUAGAACUGAACAUGUGGUUUUUUUCUCUUUUAAAAAUAAAAUAAAGUGCUUUUAAAUUAAAAUAGUUCUUGCCCUUAACAAAACUGGAACCUUGAAGUCUCUGCAUCUUGACACAUGUUUAACAGAAAAGCUUUGGGCAUUCACGUCCUUCAAGAGUUCAGAGUGAACCUAGGCUGGGCUUGGCCUCGGUAUCAUGCUCGUGUUUGUACAUGAAUGUUAAAAGAAAAAGAGCGACAUCCAAGGAUGACCAAUAGGCAGUGUGCGACGUGACGGCUGACCAAUAGCGGCUCUCCACAAGGCCUUCUCUGAGUUCAAAGUCGAUCCUGUGUUCCAGUUCCACUGUAAAGACAAGAGGUAAGUGUUGGUUACCACGUGUUUAAUGCAGGCCGGAGACAGUGGAGAAGAGUCUAGCCAAGGGAAGUGACUUAGGCUGCCACAUUCUUCACUCUAAGUUUUUGGGGCAGUAGGAAAGCCAAAGUAGCCAGAUCUACUCUGCAGCCUGUCCCUUAGUGCACGUCAGCAAAGAAUAAUAAAGAAAGAAAAUCAAAUAAAUUUGCUUGCUAUCUUGGUAUAUUUUCGGAGUUUAAAAAAAAGGAGGCUCAAUUUAAGUCUUAGAUGACUAUUUCUUAUCUGCCUUCCUUGAAGAAUUUCCUAUAUUCCUGGGGAAGUGGGUAUAUGUCUCCUCAGUUAGGGAGGCCCUACAGAAUACAUGAGGAUAUGUAUGUUUCACAACAACCAAAUUUUAUUAUUAUUACUAUUAUUAUUACUUCGCAGCUCAACAGCGUUCUUCUCCCCAUAAGGCUGAAUCCCUUAAAAACACCCCCUCCCCAAGUUUGUAUUUAUUAAGUGGGCACUAGCCUGUGCCCGGGACAUUGAAGAACUCAAAAGAAUUCACUGUGUAGCUGGAAAAGUUACCCUGGGGGAAGAGCUGUGGGGGAAAGGGCUUUACCUAUAAUUUGCUGCCCUCAACAAUCGUGUGAAUCCACUAAAGCCUUUCCAAAACCUAUAAAAAGUCCUUGCAACAUUGGAGAGAAUGAACAGCUUGAGGCUCUGUCAAAUCUCAACGGGUAAAUGUAACAGACCCUCAGAAACAACACCCUUGGGAAAGGACGGUCUGAGGGCCAGGUGGGAUGGCAGAGGCCUAGCGACCUAACUUUGAUUCCUGGAACCCAUAUAAAGGUUGAGUGAGAGAACUAACUCUACAAGGUUGUCCUCUACAUAUGGAGUUUACUUGCAUACACAAGUACAGUACAUAAUCUUUUUAAAGUGGCAUUACGCUUCUCAGGGUCUCUUUUAAAACUGUCCAUGAGCCAUAUGAUAUUAUUCCACAAGACCUAUCUCAUGUCACUACUAGACACUGAUAUCUGUUUGAUCACUGUCAAUCAAAGAUGUCUAAAGUAAAAAGUGGCAGUUAUACAUAAUAGCACUACUCUAGAAAGUAAUUUUAAAUAAAUGCAGUGUUAAUGCUAAUUAUAUACAGGGCUUGCUUUGUGGUAGUAGCAUCUGAGAGUCUGAAAUAUAAACACAGAGUAGUUACCUCUGGGCUCUGCCUGUCUGGUUUGUGAAGGUGUCUAUGUAUCUGCUUAGGGAAGGCACACAGAAGAUAGAAUGUCAAGGCUAUGGAACAUUUGGAUAGAACACUGACACAGCACCUUUUGCAAAGUUCUUCUAACUCUAAAGUUUUCACUGAAUCAAAAUAAUCCAUAGUAAGUCAGACACGCUGAGAUCCAUGUGCAUUUAGGUGGAAUGCCCUAACCCCUUAUUUUUGUACACCAUGGGCCUUCACAUGAGAUCUGUAGGCAGUCACCCACAAAGACCAGACUAUGUAGAUGAGAAAACUGAAGUCAAAGAUGAUGAAGUAGAGUCAAGAUGAAGCAGGGUACAGGAAAGAGAAGAGGCAGGCACAUGACGAGAGGAUUCACUUUCCAACGCUGCCUGCGGCAUCUACUGCUCUAGUCCAGACUCUCCAGCACAAACUGCUUGAAAGUCAAAGACACUUUCUUGUUACAAGAUUUAUCUGGCUCCACUUUGACUUUAAGGUCCUGAAAUUUGUUGUUAACAAGCGAUUACUGUCCUAAAUGACUGCUGUCAUCAUGGAGCUAUCUACUCUAUUCUGUGCUCUUGUCAUGCCUGUCACCUCUGGGGACACUAGCUGCUACCUAGACUGGCUCCACCUGUGCUAGGGUAGCCAGCUUUCCCCAGCCAACGUCCUCUGGGCCCUCAGUGCAGCCGCCUCACGUCUUGCUGGCUCUGAAGGAAGGAAGGAAGGAAGGGAGGAAGGAAGGAAGGGAGGGAGGGAGGCCAGCGGUGAGUGGAGUGGGCUUGUGUCCCAUCCUCUCUCCACGUGGCUCACAGGAUCUCUACGGGAGAGGUUUACACGGCAGCACCACUGGGUUCGGCUGUACAACAUGCCCAUGGUCAAAGCAGGCUCUGAUGCACGUGUACCAGUUGUCCUGGCAUUAUCACACCCAGACUUGCUGGGACUGCAGAGGGAGAUGGACUCUCCUCCUCUCUCUAGCCCUCUGGGAUCAUGGGGGAAGGAGAAAAUAAAACCACCUUCCUUUCUUUCUCUGUGCUUCAGAUACCUAAAUGUAAAAUCUGUUAAAAAAAACAAAACACAAAGCCCUUUGCUCCUGAGCAGCCGUGCCUUAACACAGAUGCACGCGUAUGCUCAGGCCGCACCGCAGCUCUGGGAGGCAGUCCUUCAGGGCUGUCUCUUGGUUGGACAGUGUAUCUCAUUGGCUGGGCCAGCCUGGCCAGAGCGGUGCAGGGAUUCAGUCCCACGUCUCCACCCCAAUGACAUUACAGCUGUGUACUGCAGUGCCCAGCUUUUUAAAAAGUAAGCUUUGAGGUUUGAACUCAGGCUCUCUCAUAAACAUUUUACUGGCUAAGCUGUUUCUCUAGCUUAACACGAGUUAUUUUAGUGGAAUUGUUUGUCUAUGACUACCAGUUGGAGAGAUCCUUACAUAAGAUAAGUUCUUGAGGGGAACUCACUGAGAUUGGCUACUAUAAACUCUGCUCUGGAGGCACAAAAGGAGCCAGCUUGUUAUCCUCAACCACUGUUUCGGAACUAUACAAAGCAAUCUUUUUUGAUAACUGAAAAAGAUGCACAAAAAUUUAAAGGUGGGUAAAAUUACAAAGAAAACCCUGAACACAUUUUUUAACACCAAAGAUAGAAUUCACUAUU